rnacentral:Y_RNA from 1 species
UGCUGGUCUGAUGAUAGUGAGUUAUCAGAUAUUAUUAACAUUAGUGUUACUAAAGUUGGUAUAUAACUUCCCACUGCUAAAUUUGACUGGCUUAA